rnacentral:tRNA from 1 species
GGUUAAUUAGUUUAAGUAAAACAGAAGUUUUGUAAAUUUCAGUUCUAUAAAUUA